ensembl:snRNA
AAAAAGGGCAUCUGUCGUGUUUGACACAGUAGGAGAAGAGAUUCUCUGAUCCUGCUGCGGAAUCGUUAUCAAGAGAUUUCGGAUGCACAAUUUUUAUAAAUCGGAGCUGCUAUUGACCGUUUGUCUUGGCGCUCCA